UACGUAGGGUGCGAGCGUUAAUCGGAAUUACUGGGCGUAAAGCGUGCGCAGGCGGUGAUGUAAGACAGUUGUGAAAUCCCCGGGCUCAACCUGGGAACUGCAUCUGUGACUGCAUCGCUGGAGUGCGGCAGAGGGGGAUGGAAUUCCGCGUGUAGCAGUGAAAUGCGUAGAUAUGCGGAGGAACACCGAUGGCGAAGGCAGGUCUCUGGGCUGACACUGACGCUCAUGCACGAAAGCGUGGGGAGCAAACAGG
rnacentral:rRNA from 1 species